rnacentral:lncRNA from 1 species
CACUUUCAACGUUUAUAUAGAUGGAAACAAGGCAAAAGGACAAGCUUUCCUAGAAAAGACAUAACUUAUUGCUGCUCAAAACACGAAUAUAAUGUAAUUAGAUGUCAAUACUACAACAACUCACACAACACAUGAAUAAAUAAUCCCAAAAACAAUCUAAAAUCUUAAUGGUUACAAAUGCAUCAUCAUCACAGCUACUUUCACGUUUCUUUUCAAAUGUUUUCCUCUGUUAAGGAGGAAAGACAUUAGAGUACUUCUCUUGGUGCUUUGUGCUUUGAGAAUCAUCACUGGUGUGGAUCAGAGAGGUAUAAAAGCAGAAGAACCAAGAGUAGACGUUACAUAAACAAAACACCAUUAGGCUUGGUUAUACACAUAUAUGACUCGCUGGACAGGCUUUGAAGAUCCCAGGCAAGAGAUUCGAGGCCCCCGCGGAGGCUGCGGAGGGAGCUAAGAGGUACAUGAGCGUGAAGUUGAGGAUCGAACCCACGACGAGGGUCGAGAAGACGAAGUCUAGCUCGUUGAGUCCGAAGUUGGGGCGUGAGGCCAUGUCGCCGAGUACGUUGGCGGUUACGCCAACGAGCUCUUCCAUGAGGACUUUGAAUGGGAACUGAGGAUCAGCUGCGACUCGUGAUCUCCAUCCUUGGAUGAACAUCCCUAUCGGUCCCCAUGGAGACGGUUCUUGCUUCCCUCCUGAAUCUCCGUUAUCACCGCCGCCGCCGCCUCCGACGAAGUUUCCGCCGCUACCUCCUCCUCCGGCGGAUGAAGCCGCCGGGAGAUUUGGAGAUGUGCGGAGGGAGGAACAUACCGAUGCAUUGCGUGGAAACGAGACGACGAGCCUUGGAUCGCGCGUGAGGUUGAUCGCUCUAGGACCGGUCUGGUUCGGUUUAGCCGACAAGUGGAGACGAGCUAUAGCCGCCAUCUUCUUCUCAACGAGUCGCUUCAAGAAUGGGAGAAGUUGAACUAAAGAUCUGAGAGAUCUGAGAUUGAAUCGAAUCACGGCGUGCAGACAGAGAGAGAGAGAGAGAGACAGAGAAUCUCGUUCGCCUUUUAAAAAAAAAAACCUUCCUUUUAAAACACAACACAACAAUCAAUGUUCUCAAUGGGGCCCACUUCCCACCUGCGAAAACUGAAGCUGGAUCUGAGCCCACCACGUGUCGGUACGAUAAACUAACUUCACCAACUAUAUUCACCUCACCCACCACCAUUGUUGAUUUUUUCUUUGCUUACGGACAAAAAAAGUAUUGAACUUUCAAUGUUUUUGUAGAUACAGACGAAGAAAAGAGACAAGCUUUCCUAGGACUAACAGUUGUUUGGUCUCUUUUCUCUACUCAAACUAGCUGUUAUUGGACGAAAGUAUUGCACUUUCAACGUUUAUAUAGAUGGAAACAAGGCAAAAGGACAAGCUUUCCUAGAAAAGACAUAACUUAUUGCUGCUCAAAACACGAAUAUAAUGUAAUUAGAUGUCAAUACUACAACAACUCACACAACACAUGAAUAAAUAAUCCCAAAAACAAUCUAAAAUCUUAAUGGUUACAAAUGCAUCAUCAUCACAGCUACUUUCACGUUUCUUUUCAAAUGUUUUCCUCUGUUAAGGAGGAAAGACAUUAGAGUACUUCUCUUGGUGCUUUGUGCUUUGAGAAUCAUCACUGGUGUGGAUCAGAGAGGUAUAAAAGCAGAAGAACCAAGAGUAGACGUUACAUAAACAAAACACCAUUAGGCUUGGUUAUACACAUAUACACAUGCUUGAUGGGUACCUCGUGCACUCUUAGCGUCCUGUUUUUGGACGUUUCAUUGCGUUUGAAUUG